rnacentral:rRNA from 1 species
GAAUAUUGCCCAAUGGACGAAAGUCUGAGGCAGCAACGCCGCGUGCGCGAUGAAGGCCUUCGGGUCGUAAAGCGCUUUUCGGGAGGAUGAGGAAGGACAGUACUCCCGGAAUAAGGUACGGCUAACUACGUGCCAGCAGCCGCGGUAAAACGUAGGUACCGAGCGUUAUCCGGAUUUACUGGGCGUAAAGCGCGUUCAGGCGGCUUAGCAAGUCGGGCAUGAAAUCUCUCGGCUCAACCGGGAGGGGCUGUCCGAUACUGCUGGGCUUGAGGGCAGGAGAGGGUGGUGGAAUUCCGGGUGUAGUGGUGAAAUGCGUAGAGAUCCGGAGGAACACCAGUGGCGAAAGCGGCCACCUGGCCUGCACCUGACGCUCAAACGCGAAAGCUAGGGGAGCGAACGGG